GCGCCCAUAGCUCAGCUGGUAGAGCACUCGACUCUUAAUCGAAUGGUCGCAGGUUCGAUCCCUGCUGGGCGCA
rnacentral:tRNA from 1 species